CCUACGGGAGGCAGCAGUGAGGAAUAUUGGUCAAUGGACGAGAGUCUGAACCAGCCAAGUAGCGUGAAGGAUGACUGCCCUAUGGGUUGUAAACUUCUUUUAUAUGGGAAUAAAAUGUUCCACGUGUGGGCUUUUGUAUGUACCCUAUGAAUAAGGAUCGGCUAACUCCGUGCCAGCAGCCGCGGUAAUACGGAGGAUCCGAGCUUUAUCCGGAUUUAUUGGGUUUAAAGGGAGCGUAGGUGGGUUGUUAAGUCAGUUGUGAAAGUUUGCGGCUCAACCGUAAAAUUGUAGUUGAAACUGGCAGUCUUGAGUACAGUAGAGGUGGGCGGAAUUCGUGGUGUAGCGGUGAAAUGCUUAGAUAUCACGAAGAACUCCGAUUGCGAAGGCAGCUCACUGGACUGCAACUGACACUGAGGCUCGAAAGUGUGGGUAUCAAACAGGAUUAGAUACCCGUGUAGUC
rnacentral:rRNA from 1 species